UUUUACAGUACAGAUUGACUGGUGGAAGCUAAAGUACAACCAAGAUCGACUGAGGUCCUGCUUUCUGUUCUUUCAAGCGUGAUGAAUAAUGUCAAUCUGAUUAUGUCAGAGCAUAAACAUUAGUAGUUCAUUUAAGUAUCUGCGGGGAAGAUCGUUAUUUGUCUACAGUGGAUGUGAAUCUUGACAUAAAAACUCAUACAUGGUGCUGAGGUUGGAUUCAA